rnacentral:rRNA from 1 species
CGGGGUGGAUUAGUGGCGAACGGGUGAGUAACACGUGGGCAAUCUGCCCUGCACUCUGGGACAAGCCCUGGAAACGGGGUCUAAUACCGGAUAUGACCGUCUUGGGCAUCCUUGACGGUGUAAAGCUCCGGCGGUGCAGGAUGAGCCCGCGGCCUAUCAGCUUGUUGGUGAGGUAGUGGCUCACCAAGGCGACGACGGGUAGCCGGCCUGAGAGGGCGACCGGCCACACUGGGACUGAGACACGGCCCAGACUCCUACGGGAGGCAGCAGUGGGGAAUAUUGCACAAUGGGCGAAAGCCUGAUGCAGCGACGCCGCGUGAGGGAUGACGGCCUUCGGGUUGUAAACCUCUUUCAGCAGGGAAGAAGCGAGAGUGACGGUACCUGCAGAAGAAGCGCCGGCUAACUACGUGCCAGCAGCCGCGGUAAUACGUAGGGCGCAAGCGUUGUCCGGAAUUAUUGGGCGUAAAGAGCUCGUAGGCGGCUUGUCACGUCGGUUGUGAAAGCCCGGGGCUUAACCCCGGGUCUGCAGUCGAUACGGGCAGGCUAGAGUUCGGUAGGGGAGAUCGGAAUUCCUGGUGUAGCGGUGAAAUGCGCAGAUAU